rnacentral:lncRNA from 1 species
GCCAUUUAAAGGGACUUACCUUGAGCGAUAUUAUUAUUAAUCAGCGACUUCCUUAAUCAACGAUUACAGACACCAAUGUUGUUGAGAAUCACCGAUGGGAAGUUCUCACUGUCUCUUACAAAUCUUAUCAUUCCAAAAUACACAAGAAUCCAGCAUCCAAACCUGCUAAGUCAUGCAUGAAGAACCUAUGGCAAAUGCAAUUUCAACCCCUUAAGCAACCUGUUAUGCCUUUGGGGAUCCGAUUAACUCUACAUCUGCAGGAGCAAGCAGUUUUAUCUGCCUUUGGUGAUUUGAUUUGCCCUGCAAGGCUACAACCAUGGGAGCCAGCAAUUUUUAAUCCAUUAAUGAUACUCAAUGUCUGCGAGGAGCGAACAGUUUUACGGCACUUGGUGAUCGUGUUUGCUCUACAUCUAUGGGAACAAGCAAAUUUACAGACUUCUGUGAUGUGAUGUGACUCGCUAUGUAUCUACAAGAGCAAGCAUUUUGACAGCCUUUGGUCAUCCA